UAACUCCGUGCCAGCAGCCGCGGUAAUACGGAGGGUGCAAGCGUUAAUCGGAAUUACUGGGCGUAAAGCGCACGCAGGCGGUUGAUUGAGUCAGAUGUGAAAUCCCCGGGCUUAACCCGGGAAUUGCAUCUGAUACUGGUCAGCUAGAGUCUUGUAGAGGGGGGUAGAAUUCCAUGUGUAGCGGUGAAAUGCGUANAGAUGUGGAGGAAUACCGGUGGCGAA
rnacentral:rRNA from 1 species